GCGACCAUGGUCUAGCGGUUAGGAUCAGAGGCUUCCAACCUCUUAGCCCGGGUUCGAAUCCCGGUGGUCGCA
rnacentral:tRNA from 1 species